GUAAUAUAAGAUACGGUCUCUUAGUUUUUAACUAAAAAAACUAAGAAGUGUCUCUUAAAUAAAAGAUAUAAAAGACGUUUCUUAACUUUUUUUAAUUAAAAAGUAAGAGACUGUAUCUUAUAUUAC
rfam:Brassica napus, WGS project CCCW01000000 data, contig: 41838